UAGCAAGGAUAAGAGGAAAAAACAACAAAUCCCUUUACUACCUUCUCUUUUCCCCUUACCAUUUCUUAUUAUUCAAGUUUUAAGUUCCUGAUUUCCUGUCAGUGCAGCUGCAAGGUCACCAGCUAUGCUUGCAUUGCAAGACCGGUCACAGUUUGAUUAGCUGCCUUUGUUCUGCUUCUGUAAGCCCUCUUGCCUGCACCGUGAGUUUUGCACCUUCAAAUUCCCACUGCACCAUUCAAACUAGCCAACCCCCUUUCAGAAGUGUGUGUAAAAGCCAAGCCUUGUCUUUGUUCAGGGCUCAGCCUUUGGAUUUUAAUAUGCUGGGCCUGAGUACACUCAAUAAAGUCCUCCUGUUCCACCCAUUGGUCUCUCUGUUCUCCUGAUUCCCACAACAGUAGUAGGGGACUGUGUUCGCACUUUCCCCUGGUCCUUCAUGGUAUGAAUAAUAGACAGCCUUUUUUUCUUCACCUAUAGUCACAGGCUCAGUCUCAGUGAUUGUAUGGUGUGGUCAGCUGUUUUUGUUUUUGUGAGACCUUGUUUUCUUUUUUAUUAUCCUGGGACAGAUGUCUGUAGUCACUUGUUUCCUCGGGAGGCAAAUUUCAGUCUCUGUGGGGGAGGUCU
rnacentral:lncRNA from 10 species